rnacentral:rRNA from 1 species
GUGACAGCCGCCGCGGUAAUACGUAGGUGGCAAGCGUUGUCCGGAUUUAUUGGGUUUAAAGGGUGCGUAGGCGGCCCUGUAAGUCUGUGCUGAAAUACCCCGGCUUAACCGGGGGGGUGGCACUGAUACUGCAGGGCUUGAGUAAAGUCGAGGUAGGCGGAAUUGACGGUGUAGCGGUGAAAUGCUUAGAUAUCGUCAAGAACACCGAUAGUGUAGACAGCUUACUAGGCUUUAACUGACGCUGAGGCACGAAAGUGUGGGGAUCAAACAGGAUUAGAAACCCGAGUAGUCC